rnacentral:rRNA from 1 species
UGGGGAAUAUUGGGCAAUGGGCGCAAGCCUGACCCAGCAACGCCGCGUGAGGGAAGAAGGCCUUCGGGUUGUAAACCUCUGUCCUUGGUGACGAAGAAAGUGACGGUAGCCAAGGAGGAAGCCCCGGCUAACUACGUGCCAGCAGCCGCGGUAAUACGUAGGGGGCGAGCGUUGUCCGGAAUUACUGGGCGUAAAGGGUGUGUAGGCGGUCUGUUAAGUUAGAUGUGAAAUGCCCGGGCUUAACUUGGGACGUGCAUCUAAGACUGGCGGACUAGAGUGCAGGAGAGGAAAGCGGAAUUCCUAGUGUAGCGGUGAAAUGCGUAGAUAUUAGGAGGAACACCAGUGGCGAAGGCGGCUUUCUGGACUGUAACUGACGCUGAGGCACGAAAGCGUGGGGAGCAAACAGG